rnacentral:rRNA from 1 species
UACGUAGGGUGCAAGCGUUAAUCGGAAUUACUGGGCGUAAAGCGUGCGCAGGCGGCUUUGCAAGACAGAUGUGAAAUCCCCGGGCUCAACCUGGGAACUGCAUUUGUGACUGCAUGGCUAGAGUGCGGCAGAGGGGGAUGGAAUUCCGCGUGUAGCAGUGAAAUGCGUAGAUAUGCGGGAGGAAACACCUAUGGCGAAGGCAAUCCCCUGGGCCUGCACUGACGCUCAUGCACGAAAGCGUGGGGAGCAAACAGG